CCUGAUUGAUCUUGCUAGUAGUUAUAUACUUGUCUCAAAGAUUAAGCCAUGCAUGUGUAAGUAUAAAUAAAUUCAAGCUGUGAAAUUGUGAAUGGCUCAUUAAGUCAAUUAUAGUUUAUUUGAUGGUAUCUAUUACUCAAAUAAGCAUAGUAAUUCUAGAGCAAAUACUACAACAAACCUCAACUUCUGGAAGGGAUGCAUUUAGCAUAAAACAUCGAUGCUGGCUUUGCUCGUUGCAUUAAUGAUUCAUGACAACUCGGUGGAUUGCAUGACCUUUUUGUCGACUAUGCAUCAUUCAAAAUUUUGCCUUAUCAACUUUCGAUGGUAGGAUAGUGGCCUACUAUGAUGGUGACAAGUGAUAGAGAAUUAGGAUUCAAUUCUAAAAAGGGAGCUUGAAAAAUGGCUACCAUAUCCAAGGAAGGCAGUGGGCAUACAAAUUACCCAAUCCUAACAUAAAGAGGUAGUGAUGAUAAAUAACAAUACCAAGCUCUAUGAGUCUGAUAAUUGGAAUGAGUAUAAUCUAAAUCCCUUAAUGAGGAUCCAUUAGAGGGUAAGUUUAAUGCCAGCAACUAUCGUAAUUCCAGCUCUAAUAAUGUAUAUUUAAGUUGUUGCAGUUAAAAAGCUCAUGGUUGGAACUAGGAUUAGGUCAUUUGGUUUGCUUCACGAUGAGCACCGGUCUACUCAUCCCUACCAUCGAUGAUGCACUCCUAGCUUUAAUUAGCUAGGUUAUUCCUCUAACACUAUUACUUUGAAGAAAUUAGAGUGCCCAAAGUAGGCCUAUGCUUGUAUACAUUAGCAUGGGAUAACAUCAUAGGAUUUCAAUCCUAUUGUGUUGGCCAUUAGGAUCAGAGUAAUGAUUAAUAGGGAUAGUCGAGGGCAUUCAUAUUUCAUAGUCAGGGUUGAAAUUCUUGGAUUUAUGAAAGAUGAACAACUAUGAAAGCAUUCGCCAAGAAUCUUUUCAUUAAUCAAGAAUGAAAGUUGAGGGCUAAAAAAUGAUCAGAUACCAUCCUAGACUCAACCAUAAAUGAUGCUAACCAAGGAUUGAUGGAUGUUACUUUUAGGACUUUGUCAACACCUUAUAAGAAAUAAAAGUCUUUGGGUUUUGAAGGGAGUAUGGUCACAAGGCUAAAACUUAAAGGAAUUGCUGGAAGGGCACCACCAGGAGUGGAGCCUACAGCUUAAUUUUUUCAACAUGGGGAAACUUACCAAGUCUAGACUUAAUAAGGAUUGACAGACUGAGAGCUCUUUCUUGAUUCUAUGGGUGGUGCUACAUGGUUGUUCUUAGUUGGUGGAGUAAUUUGUCUAGUUAAUUCCAUUAAUGAGUAAGACUUCAACUUGCUAACUAGCAAUGUAGAGGUGAUCCUUCUUGGCUAGCUUUUUAGAGGGACUAUGGCUACUUAGGCUAAGGAAGUUUGAGGCAAUAAUAGGUCUAUGAUGCCCUUAGAUGUUAUGGGCUGCACAUGCUCUACACUGAUGUAUUCAAUGAGUCUAUAGCCUUGGCUAAUAGGCUCAGGUAAUCUUUGAAAUUUCAUCAUGAUAGGGAUAGAUUAUUGCAAAUGUUGAUCUUCAAUGAGGAAUUCCUAGUAAGUAAAGUCAUCAACUCGCAUUGACUACAUCCCUGUCCUUUAUAACACCAUCCGUCAGUCUUACCAAUUGAAUGGUUAGGUGAAGCAUUUAGAUCAUGGUGAUGCAGAUGGUUCAUUGCCCUCAUGUCAUAAGAAAUCCACUGAACCUUAUCAUUUAGAGGAAGGAGAAGUCAUAACAAGGUUUCCAUAGGUGAACCUACAAAAG
rnacentral:rRNA from 1 species